rnacentral:rRNA from 1 species
AUUGGACGCUGGCGGCAGGCCUAACACAUGCAAGUCGAACGGUAACAGAAAGCAGCUUGCUGCUUUGCUGACGAGUGGCGGACGGGUGAGUAAUGUCUGGGAAACUGCCUGAUGGAGGGGGAUAACUACUGGAAACGGUAGCUAAUACCGCAUAACGUCGCAAGACCAAAGAGGGGGACCUUCGGGCCUCUUGCCAUCGGAUGUGCCCAGAUGGGAUUAGCUUGUUGGUGGGGUAACGGCUCACCAAGGCGACGAUCCCUAGCUGGUCUGAGAGGAUGACCAGCCACACUGGAACUGAGACACGGUCCAGACUCCUACGGGAGGCAGCAGUGGGGAAUAUUGCACAAUGGGCGCAAGCCUGAUGCAGCCAUGCCGCGUGUAUGAAGAAGGCCUUCGGGUUGUAAAGUACUUUCAGCGGGGAGGAAGGGAGUAAAGUUAAUACCUUUGCUCAUUGACGUUACCCGCAGAAGAAGCACCGGCUAACUCCGUG